rfam:Oryza glaberrima chromosome 9 Oglab09_0132_6, whole genome shotgun sequence.
AAUGUAUGACGCCGUUGACUUUUUGUCCAACGUUUGACCAUUUGUCUUAUUCAAAAAAUUUAUAUAAUUAUCAUUUAUUUUAUUAUGACUUGAUCCAUCAUUAAAUGUUCUUUAAGUAUGACAUAAAUAUUUUCAUACUUGCACAAAAAUUUUGUAUAAAACAAAUGGUCAAACGUUGGUUGAAAAGUCAACGGCGUUAUA